rnacentral:lncRNA from 1 species
CGUUGGCCUUUGCUGCUGCUGUACCCUUCUGCUGGAGACUGAAAGCCACCUAUUCUGGGAAGCCUUCCCUGAUCACCAAGACAGAAUCUGAUGUUCUGGGUUUUCCUGGCACCGCACACACUUCUCACAAUAUCCUAUUAUCUUAGUUUGUUUCUAUGCCCAUCUCCCCCAACUGGAGUCCAAGAUAUUGUCCCUAGGAUUUUUCUGACAUACAGUUAGUGCUCAAUAAGUGUCUGCUGAAUGAAGCUUUUCAGGUUUCACAACCAUGGGAAAUCUUGGGUCUCAAGAACAGAUCAAGGUGUUUGAUUUUCCUGGGAAGGGUAGACCCUGUGUAGUUCUGGCAAGUGAUCCCUCUUCUGAUGGAAAUUCUGUUUGAUGCCCUCCCUAGUGAGGCCAGGGUGGCAACGUGAGCCUAUCCUCCUUUGCAGCAGACCUGAGCCCUGUAGAUUUACAGAUAUCUGAGUGUGGAAUCCAGCCCUGAGUCCACACCUUGUAGAAAGCAGGAGGAGAGCAGGCCUUGAACAACUGAAGUUGCUUAUCUGCUAUGAGCCUCCUGGAGGCCCAAAUAAAGAAUCCAGAAUGUGGCGAGUCUCCACUGCUGCCUGGGCCCUGUUGCCUCUAAGAUGAACUUAUCGCUGACCUUUCUGGCACAUGGAGAAUGUCCCCACUGCCCGGAGAAGAGAGGCCUCUCCUUGUGGUCCUGCAUUCUGGACUCAGUGGGAUCCACCGCACUCAGCAUUCUUGGCUUCAUGCUGGAGCUGAGCGUAAGUUCUAGGGACUAGGAAUCUGAAAUCAAAGCGUCAGUGGCACCUUCUGAGGGCUGUGAGGAGCCUGUCCCAUGCCUCUUGACUAGCUUCUGGUGGCCUGCUGGCAAUCUGUGGUGUUCCUUGGCUGUAGAGGCAUCGUCCCGAUAUCUGCCUUCAUCUUCACAUGACGUUCUCUCUAUGUGUGCAUCUGUGUCCA